ensembl:lncRNA
CUAUAAAUAACUCCCGAAAUAUCAAAGACUGGUCAACUUAUACAGAUGAGGAAUAUGUUGAAUAUGGCCAGCCAAUGAAGGUAGGCUAUUUUUAAUUAAUUAAUUAACCGGUGUCAAGUGAGAGCGCCACGAGACGCUGUAGCGCACACGAACCUAGGCAACGAAGUGAGGAAGGGAGAACGAGCGAUGGUGAACCAAUGAAAAGGCGCCUAAAUCUAAACUGGCUCUGCUUUGCUAACAUUUCUUUCCGGAUCGGUUUGUGCUGUCCAGGCGCGACAUCCAGAGGACUCCGUCUGGGUGCGUGCAUCUGUCCAAACGGAAAAAGACGCAUUAUCAUGAACAUCAGUGGACUGAAGUACAGAGAUGUUAUAUGUGCCUGGCGGAUAUAAAAGGUUUUGACUUGACUGAGCAUGGAUCUUCACUUAUUGCGAGGAAAACACAUGAAAGACCAUCAUCCUUUGAUUGUAAUUGAGGAAGACAUUAGGUAAUCUUUCCUCAGGACUUGUGCUACAAAACAACUACAAAACAACUCCAACCUUUGCAUUCAAUCAGCCCCGGACCAUUACUGAAAGCUUCCACCUGACUGAGGAGGACAGUCAGUCUUGCUUCUGGUACAACAUCCUGGGAUAUCUUUAUUUUACUCCUCCCAUCCAGCAGUUCUUAUCCACCUAUUUUGAUCACAACAUGGGGGGGAGGGUGGAGUUUACCACCACUGACUUCUGAGAAUCCAUCCUGUGAGCUCAUCUGGUUUUGAACCUUGCUGCGUUGCGUUCCCAGUCCAUUUGUCCAAGUAACCCGCACCAUCUGGUGUGUUUCUGUUGAACACCUUGAGGAACUAACCAAGUAGGACUAGUACACUGCUACAGGGUGACCUGAAAACAGGCCCGGUUAGGAGAGAAAUGAAAGGAGUCUUAUAGCUUGGGAAGAACACACACAUGUGGCCUCUGAGGGGGCUGUGCAGUAGCCGUUGGUGGUUUUCUCCCAGAGCUGUAAAGGCUGAGGUGAUAUCUCUCCAUUUAACCUCCCUGUGUGGAGAAAUCUGUUCCUGUAUCCUCCUCACGCAUGUUGAAGGCUGACCGGGACUCAGCCAGCCUUUCUUAUUUAUCUGUCUACCCUGACCUUUUUCUCCCAUUACCACGUAUCUUCUUGCUGUCUCUCCACCACACCCAUUCCUGUCACACGCACUCUCUCUACUCUGACAAUCAACAAUGCUUGCAUACCAAUUUGACUUUCAUUUGUCGCAACCCAAGCCACCAGAGCCCGAGUGGAAACACUGACAUUUGGAGUGCAGCGUGGUGUCUGUUGCUGUGUGGACCGUUCCAAACCUCCACCCCCACCCCACCCCACGACCCCCUGGCAAUGGUCCUGGCUGUAAAUGUCACAGUGCUGGCUGGCUGAAUCAUCCAUAGGGUGGCUUUCCACGGGCCAGCCAUCUCUGUGGGAACCUCACUGUGUCUCAGGGAACAGACGCUACUUCUCAGCUCUAGGCAGACCCUGACAGCUGCCUUAUGGGAUUUCCAGUUUUGGUUUAAUUAGAAAGAUUCAGUCCGACCCCGAGACCCCAUUUGCAUUAUACUUGGAGGGAACUUGCAUUUAAAUAUAUUUUUUUGGUUGUCGUUUUGUUGUUACCCUCUUCACUGGAUUCAAAUAGCAGCUGGAGACCAGGAGUAUUUGAAUGCAGGUUUUUACCAAGUCAUUGUGCUGGAUUACACAGGCCCUGUAAGGGUCACGCCUUGUAGGUUUUUCCCUCAGUUUUUCUCCAGGACCCUCUCCCACUUGACACUAACAUUUCACAAGGAUAAAGCCAGGCACACACGUGUACAAAAUCUCCUUUUAGAAUAUUCACGCCAAUCCCAUGGAAUUCUCACCAAUGUAAGAAGCCCACGAAUACAGUGAUAAGGGAAAGAUAGCGUAGAUGGCUUCCCCGCAAUAAAU